rnacentral:lncRNA from 1 species
UGAUGCUACUCUUGGCUCCCAUCUCCAGGGUCUGGCAUGACCUGGGCACAUAGGAGAGUCUUCAUAAAGGAUUUUAAUGCAUGAAGAGAAAGGGUAGUUCCUUUGAGGUAGAGAUAGGGCAGCUGAUGUUUGAGAGUGGAGAGGGAUAAGGCUGGGCAAAUCACCCUCCCAUCUCCAGAGGGACAGUAGCCCCAACACUGGGAGAGCAGCAGCCCAAUUUGUCUAACUGCAGCUUCCACUGGCUGGGCUGAACUGGGCCUGGGUAGAAAAGCUCACACGCUGGGCCUGCAGACAGGGAGAAACCCAUUCAUUCCCCGAGGACAGAUGGGUGGGGAGAGGAGAGCAUUUCUGGCUGGGAAUAAGCUACCUGCUGGGAACCCAGGCACAAUGUCUGAUAAGAUCCAAGAGCAUAGACUCCUGUGGGAUGCCAGCUAGGCCUGGGGCCUGGGGAUCUUAGAGGCUUUUGUAUCAUCAUCAUAGGCGUGUCGGGGUGGCCAGGACCCCUGUUUUAUCCCAGGGCCCCCUCUUCUGCUCCAUCCGUUGCCAUUGACUCUACGCAGUUACUGUAGACAGGAUUUGUUGCUCUUUUGGCUUUGGGGAUUAUGGGCUGGAGAAGUACCAGCUGUUUUGUGGCAGGGCUAUGGGGCCAGUCAAACAAUGAGACCCAGAGACCAGCUGUAUGCCGAGUAUCCCCUGGGGACCCUGACCUGUCCCCAGCCCUGAGCUUCAGACCUCAACACCCAGAUGACUUCUAAGAAUUUGACUGUGGGGACCCCUGCAUGGCUGCAGCUCUGUGGAAAGGAGAGGAAGCCCCCAGCAGAACAGCCACCAACUUCCUGCCCAGCUUCCUCCUGUCGGGCUCUAGUCUCUUCUUCUCGGGACCCUGCAAGCAAAGGCAUGUCAGCUUGGUGGUUUCCUGUUUUGGGUGAAGUUUUGUGCGGUCUGGGCUCUGUAGAUCCAUGAACUUGGGUGCUACCACCUUGCUGCUGCUGUGCAGACAGCAGCAGGGUCUUGGGUGGAAAAUGGACGCGCCCUUGGGUGCUAGCCCUGGGGGCAAAAGAUGGGGUGGUGGUGAGACACAGCAGGGAACUGAGGAGGAAGAAGAGGAAGGAGCCCUACAGCCUGAAGGGCCAUAUUGGGUUCCUGGUACUAGCAGAAGACUACAGAGGGAAGUCUGUAUUUUGAGGAGGUAAUUCAUCCUUAGGAAAUCAAUCAGAAAUUUGGAGAGGGUGAUUUAUCUAUGUCUGGAGGGUCUCUACCUAUCUCCGAUGAAGCUCUCCCUGGGACUCGGAUGGGUGGGACCAGUAGGAAAGGUUUCCGAUACAGCAGGGGCUUCUUGACAACUGGUAGCUGUUGUUGGACCAAGACGGCCCUGCAGGAGUACUGUAGUGUGCCUUGGACCAACUUCUCAAAAGAGCAGUCCUGGGGCUACCCUACUUCUGCUUGGAAGAGACGGAGAGAGAGGCUGGGAAGGGGCUCCUUCGAGAACUGCUCCCUGGAGAAAGGGCUUGGAGGAGGCAGCUAGGCUAAGGGUGCUGAGGGCGCUUUGUCUCUCCUAACCUGGACACUGUUAGGAAAAGGCUUUCCCGGGUGUGAGCUGCAGCCCUGCCCCAGCGCUGAACCUGCCAUGGUGGGAGCUGAACUAAAAAUUUCUCAGGGAACUAAAUUAGGCAAAAGAGGAACUGGGGGAGGGGGUACCAAGCAGGAUGGGGGAUGGGGUGCAAAGGCUCCUGAAAACAGAAAGCCCAGCUGAGUUCCAGUCCCAGACCACAGAGGAUAUGGGCCAUCUGGCUUGUGCCCUGCAUGCUCACUGCUUUGCCCUGGCAUUUUCCUUCCUCACAAUGAAUGUGAGUCCUGGGAGGGUGAGGACUAAUGCCAGCCUGGGGAGCUGAUAGUUGACACAGUCCUUGGGUAACUGGGUUGAACCAGGACCUCAGGAUUCCACUCUGGGGAUUUAGCUUUGUGUGGAUCUUUGAGGAUCUCCAUAUUGGCAUUAUUGCCACAGGAUAAAUAUUUCACUGGGCUUCACUGUUCUGAUCUGUUGGGUGUGGCUUCCUGGAAAAUACAGUGAGAGGAAUUCUGAUAAGGAUACAGCUGAUAAGGAAGUGCUGAGAUUGAUUAAUAAUGCCUGCCUUGGACUUGGGAAGAGGAAGUGGCCGAAUGGAUGCCAUAUCUUAAUCUUGUUAAAAUAUGCUGCCCAGAAGAUUUCCACAUGUGUAUGAAGUAUGCACGUGUAUAUGUUUUACUGUGUGCCUAUGGAAACCAGAAAUCAUCACUGGGUGUCUUCCUCAUUUCCUUUGCAAUGUCUUUUUUUUUUUAAGGAUUUAUUUACUUCAUGAAUGUUUUGCCCGAAUGCACGCGUAAGUGUCAUGUGCGUGCCAGUUGGAAGGACUGGAACUGGAGUCAUAGGUGGUUAUGAGCUACCAUUUGAGUGCCGGGAAUCAAACCCAGGUCUUCUGCAAGAGCAACAGAUUAAAAGAUAGCUCUUAGCUGCUCGACUUUCCAGCCCCACCAUCGAGCAUUCUUAGCGUUUAAAAUCUCAUGUGCAUGUUUUUGCUUGUUUGUUCGAUUUUGCCUGCAUGUCUCUGAGCGUCCCCACGUGAGUGCCUGGCACUGUGGAGGCCAUGGGGGGGGGGGCACUGAGUCACGUGGGAAUGGAGGUAUAGAUUGUUGUGAGUUGGCAUGUGGACGGAGUCAACGUGGAUCCUCUGGGAGUCGAGCAAGAGCUCCCAACUGCUGGGCUGUCUCGUUAGUGUUCCACUUUAUUUUUGGCAGACCCUGCAGUGAAUCUGGAGCUCAGCACUAGGCUGAGCAUCGAGCUCUGGGGAUCUGCCUGUCUCUGCCCCACCCCACCCCCAACUGCUGGGGUUAUCGACUGCAUCCAGCCUGUGGAUGCUGAGAAUCUGAACACAGAUACGUGCGUGGUGAGCACUGUAUCUUCCGAGCCCUGCCCACCCCUAAACAAGAGUCUUUACCGUUCCCAUGUAAUGCAGAAAGAAAUGAUGGUUCUGAAAGGCUCAUGCUUUGUGACUGGUGGAAUGUAUGUUGCCUCUCCUGCCCCUUUCCCGUCAAUGAACCAAAGAGCCUUCUCAUCCAUUGAUCUGCCAUUGCCUUCAACUUGUACACGCCAGGCCGCGGAGAGAUGAACUUGACCUCACAAGUUUGCAAUUCCAGUUCACUCCACACCAGGAAUAAACUCUUAUUUAUGCUC